rnacentral:rRNA from 1 species
GACGAACGCUGGCGGCGUGCUUAACACAUGCAAGUCGAACGGAAAGGCCCUGCUUUUGUGGGGUGCUCGAGUGGCGAACGGGUGAGUAACACGUGAGUAACCUGCCCUUGACUUUGGGAUAACUUCAGGAAACUGGGGCUAAUACCGGAUAGGAGCUCCUGCUGCAUGGUGGGGGUUGGAAAGUUUCGGCGGUUGGGGAUGGACUCGCGGCUUAUCAGCUUGUUGGUGGGGUAGUGGCUUACCAAGGCUUUGACGGGUAGCCGGCCUGAGAGGGUGACCGGCCACAUUGGGACUGAGAUACGGCCCAGACUCCUACGGGAGGCAGCAGUGGGGAAUAUUGCACAAUGGGCGGAAGCCUGAUGCAGCAACGCCGCGUGCGGGAUGACGGCCUUCGGGUUGUAAACCGCUUUCGCCUGUGACGAAGCGUGAGUGACGGUAAUGGGUAAAGAAGCACCGGCUAACUACGUGCCAGCAGCCGCGGUGAUACGUAGGGUGCGAGCGUUGUCCGGAUUUAUUGGGCGUAAAGGGCUCGUAGGUGGUUGAUCGCGUCGGAAGUGUAAUCUUGGGGCUUAACCCUGAGCGUGCUUUCGAUACGGGUUGACUUGAGGAAGGUAGGGGAGAAUGGAAUUCCUGGUGGAGCGGUGGAAUGCGCAGAUAUCAGGAGGAACACCAGUGGCGAAGGCGGUUCUCUGGGCCUUUCCUGACGCUGAGGGGCGAAAGCGUGGGGAGCGAACAGGCUUAGAUACCCUGGUAGUCCACGCUGUAAACGGUGGGUACUAGGUGUGGGGUCCAUUCCACGGGUUCCGUGCCGUAGCUAACGCUUUAAGUACCCCGCCUGGGGAGUACGGCCGCAAGGCUAAAACUCAAAGGAAUUGACGGGGCCCCGCACAAGCGGCGGAGCAUGCGGAUUAAUUCGAUGCAACGCGUAGAACCUUACCUGGGUUUGACAUGGAUCGGGAGUGCUCAGAGAUGGGUGUGCCUCUUUUGGGGUCGGUUCACAGGUGGUGCAUGCCUGUCGUCAGCUCGUGUCGUGAGAUGUUGGGUUAAGUCCCGCAACGAGCGCAACCCUUGUUCACUGUUGCCAGCACGUUAUGGUGGGGACUCAGUGGAGACCGCCGGGGUCAACUCGGAGGAAGGUGGGGAUGACGUCAAGUCAUCAUGCCCCUUAUGUCCAGGGCUUCACGCAUGCUACAAUGGCUGGUACAGAGAGUGGCGAGCCUGUGAGGGUGAGCGAAUCUCGGAAAGCCGGUCUCAGUUCGGAUUGGGGUCUGCAACUCGACCUCAUGAAGUCGGAGUCGCUAGUAAUCGCAGAUCAGCAACGCUGCGGUGAAUACGUUCCCGGGGCU